GCAGUUGUGGGCUAGUGGAUAAGGUGAUUGACUGGAGAUCAAACGGUCGCUGGUUCGAUCUCCAGCUCCACUGGG
rnacentral:tRNA from 1 species